CUAGUCGUCAGUGGUCUUUCGUCGCUCGUCGGUGGUCGUCGUUCGCUGCCGUUGCAGUUAUCUAAGGUACACUUCUUCUUCUUCGUUCGGCUUCUUCUUCUUCUACGUUCUUCUUCUUCGAUCUUGAACUCUUCUUCUUCGAUCUUCUCUGUGUCUCAGUCGCUCUCUCUUCCUCGCAGUCGCUCUUGCUCUCUCACGCAGUCACACACACACUCUCUCUCUCUCUCUCUUCUCCUCUAAUUUGAGCCUUUAUUUUGUUUUCUUUUGUUUUUUUUUCCCUUUUAUAGGGUCAGUAUAAAUCAUAAGCGGAAGGCUUUUUCAUAUUAAGCCAAAUUACUACCUUAAUUAUCAAAUUAAGUCUAAUUUGAACAGAAUUUCUAAAUUAGGAUAAUAGGCUAUUACAAAUCACACUUUCACUGUUUGGAGCAAAAAAUUUAAUGAAUAAUGAAAGCGUUAUUACAAAUCACGCUUUUAAUUAAGAAAGCGUGGUUUAAAUUUGUUUUAUGAAGAAAAUGUGGUUCCAAACCACACUUUCACUGUGCAUAUUGUUUAAAUUUUGUUUUCUGAAGAAAAUAUGGUUCCAAACUAUGCUUUCACUGUGCAUAUUGUUUUGUUAAGAAAACGUGAUUCGAAAUCGCGCUUUCACUGUGCAUAUUUGUUUUGUUAAGAAAAUGUGAUUCACAAUCACGCUUUCACUGUUGAUAAAUGAAAGCGUGGAUUGAAACUACACUUUUACAACUUAUAUAAAACCCCUAAGCCCCCUCAUUUGCAAUCAUGUUUUUUACACUUACGUUUUUUUCGACUCUCGCUCUCACUCUCCCUUUUGCUCUGCUCUCAGACUCUCACUCUCCCUCUUGCUCUCGCUCUCCCUCUGCUCCCAGACUCUGUCUCUGCUCUCACUCUCUGUCUCUGCUCUCUCUCUCUGUCCAUGGCUUCAUGACACAUCUACCUGAUGAGGUCCCACUUUUCAGUCAUCCACAUCGGGUUGACAGUAUAUGGGAGGAUCCGAUAUGUAAUAACGUCUGUUGGACUUUAUGCUUACAAUGAAAAUACCUUGCAUUUUUUUUUUAUAUUACGUGAUAAUGCUAUAAUUUAAACUAGUCAUUCUGUUAUGCAGGACGAGGCACGCACCGUGGUGAUAUGCCGGCGGGGAGAUUUCGGCCUGUGGGAGCGUUCAUUGGACCAUAGAGUCUUGCAGUGUCUAUUACGCGCGAGAUUCUAUGGUGUCUAUCGUAUAGGUCAUAUUAUACUAGACCACCCACUCAUCACUGCUCUCGUCGAGAGGUGGCGCACAGAGACUCAUACAUUUCAUUUCCUAAUCGGGGAGGCCACCGUCACAUUGCAGGAUGUAUCUAUCCUAUAUGGUCUACGGAUUGAUAGGCGAGCAGUUAUUGGAGCUGACCCAUCAUUGACGAGGGACCAGUGGAUAGCCCUAUGUGCCGAGCUAUUAGGAGUAGCACCUAUACCUACAAACUUACAGGCAGGUAGACUGAGGGUGAGGUGACUAUUCGAGCAGUUUCAGGGCCAUCUUCUAGAUCAGGCUCUAGAUGAGUUAGUACAGCAGCAUGCCCGAGCAUAUAUUCUGUGGCUUAUUGGGGGGUACUUCUUCUUGAUAAGUCACAGAACCUACUCAAGCUGAUGUACUUGCCAUUGUUGAGAGACAUUGGCGCGAUCAGCCAGUACAGCUGGGGCGCCGCGACUUUGGCAUGCUUGUAUAGGAUGCUAUGUCGAGCAGCUCAGAUGGAUGCGAAGGAGAUCGGAGGAUCCCUUGUCUUGCUACAGAUUUGGGCGUGGGAGAGAUUGAUUCGCAUUACCCCGUCUAGGCGGCAAGUGGUUGCUCCUGGUGAAGUUUCCAUCGGCCAAGGAGACAUGCAGUUGCCAGCCGGACCUCGAGGUAGCCGGUGGAGGGUUGACAUGGGCCACGAGGUUGUAUCGACCCACGUAGUCAUCGUGUAUAGAGACCAGCUUGACCAGAUGAUAGAGGGCGAGUUUAUCUGGCAGCCUUAUGCUGGGGUCCUCAGUACGCUCCCAGACUAUUGCCGACUAGGUGAGAAGAUAUGGAUGGCGAGAGUGCCACUCAUUUGUUUUGACGUGGUUGAGUGCAUCUCCCUGAUUGUGUCCUCCGACAGUUUGGUCGGGUCCAGUCCGUGCCGGAUCGAUGCGACACCGAGUGGCGGUUGCAUGCGACUGGUAGACGUGGCCGAGCCGACACUGACUAGAGUCUGUAUCAUAUGCGAUAUAUACAGCUGUGGGAUGCCCGUCGUGACAGUAUUGUAUAGGCUGACUAGAACGAUGAGGUCCUCCCCUCUUCCGACCCUUACAUGUUGUGGUAUCGGCGGCAUACACACCUACUAGUCGAUAAUCCGAGCCACCUGUCUGAGUCCGAAUAUCAGGGACUUGGGCCUUCUCUCGAGACAUUGGUAGUUUGAGCUGAAAGGUCAUAUCACUUGGCUGAGGACGCCCUUUUCAAACGUGAUGGACAGCAUGCGAUGCAGGCCCUUGUAGAGAUCCGAGAGUUAUUGUACGAGGGGAUCCAGUAUGCCCAUUGGGUAGAUCGUCUGCAUUUUGGCCACUACGAUGUACACAGUGUAGCCGCUGCUCAAGACACAUCAGUCCCGUCCAUGUCAGUGCCUUCCACUUCAGCGCCAGCCACAGCAAGUCCUUGGACUUCAGUCACCCCACCGUAUGGUACCUCAUACAUUUCUCCAGAUUCCCCACACGUAUAUCCUACCCAGCAUGCUGACCCUAAUUAGACGCCGCCCGGAUAUAUGCAUGACGUUGUUACCCCACCCACCUAGUUACCACCUGUUUUUUUGGGGACUAGUUCGACCGCGACCAUGAGCACACAUGAUGCAGUUCUCACUGACAUCUCCUACGUUGAGGAUGAGGCCCAUAUUGAGCCCCUCCAGAGCGCGAGGAAGAGGCCGAGGUUAUGGUUGUAGCGGACGUCGCGGCCGAGGUCGGGGUGCGGGCAGAGGCAGAGGUCGAGGUCGAGGUGGAGAUCCAGCUACAGAUCGUGAUACAGUUGCAGCAGAUGAGGGAGUUUCACAGCUCACAAUAGUAUCCGAUCUUCAACCAGAGACAGGAUCAAGGGCAGCACAUGCAGGAGAGGGGGGGUCACACUCACAAGCUCCAUAGGUAGUCAGUGGAGGGCCACAUGCAGGGGAGGGAGUGCCACUGGAUACGCAUUUACGAUUGGGAAAGCCAGAUAUUCAGAGAGUCUACCGUAGGAGACCGAGGAGGGAGGUCCAUGGUCGGGGUUGUGGGACUGGGGGCAGGUUAGGGCAUUAGCGGGUGUGAUAUGGAGUGUAUAGUUUUUUUUAUUUAUAGUAAUUGUUAUAGUUUUUAUAAAUCAAGCUUGUACAGAUGAUGUAAAUGUGAUACUUAUUUAU